rnacentral:tRNA from 1 species
GCUCCCGUAGUUCAAUGGAUAGAACGGCUCACUCCUAACGAGUUAAUUCAGGUUCGACUCCUGACGGGAGCA